rnacentral:misc_RNA from 1 species
GGAUGAGGCUGAUAAGCUUCUUUCACCAGAAUUCCAACCUUCCAUCGAGCAGCUGAUCUGCUUCCUACCUGCAAAUCGCCAGAUUUUGAUGUUUUCUGCAACAUUUCCUGUUACUGUCAAAGACUUUAAAGAAAGAUAUUUGCACAAGCCAUAUGUUAUCAACCUCAUGGAUGAACUUACACUCAAGGGUAUAACACAAUUUUAUGCUUUCGUUGAAGAAAGACAGAAGAUUCACUGCCUUAACACUCUCUUCUCAAAGCUUCAAAUUAACCAAUCAAUUAUUUUUUGCAACUCUGUAAAUCGUGUGGAACUUCUUGCCAAAAAGAUUACUGAGCUGGGCUAUUCAUGCUUCUACAUUCAUGCUAAGAUGCUUC